UACUCAUUAAGGCUGAGCUGUGAUGGGGAGAAGACAUUGUGUCUUCGAGUCGUUGAUUUCACACUGCCGAGAAAAGCCUCUAGAUAGAAAAUAGGUGCCCGUACCGCAAACCGACACAGGUAGUCAAGAUGAGAAUUCUAAGGUGAGCGAGCGAACUCUCGUUAAGGAACUCGGCAAAAUGACCCCGUAACUUCGGGAGAAGGGGUGCUCUUUAGGGUUAACGCCCAGAAGAGCCGCAGUGAAUAGGCCCAAGCGACUGUUUAUCAAAAACACAGGUCUCUGCUAAACCGUAAGGUGAUGUAUAGGGGCUGACGCCUGCCCGGUGCUGGAAGGUUAAGAGGAGUGGUUAGCUUCUGCGAAGCUACGAAUCGAAGCCCCAGUAAACGGCGGCCGUAACUAUAACGGUCCUAAGGUAGCGAAAUUCCUUGUCGGGUAAGUUCCGACCCGCACGAAAGGCGUAACGAUUUGGGCACUGUCUCAACGAGAGACUCGGUGAAAUCAUAGUACCUGUGAAGAUGCAGGUUACCCGCGACAGGACGGAAAGACCCCGUGGAGCUUUACUGUAGCCUGAUAUUGAAAUUCGGCACAGCUUGUACAGGAUAGGUAGGAGCCUUUGAAACGUGAGCGCUAGCUUACGUGGAGGCGCUGGUGGGAUACUACCCUAGCUGUGUUGGCUUUCUAACCCGCACCACUUAUCGUGGUGGGAGACAGUGUCAGGCGGGCAGUUUGACUGGGGCGGUCGCCUCCUAAAAGGUAACGGAGGCGCUCAAAGGUUCCCUCAGAAUGGUUGGAAAUCAUUCAUAGAGUGUAAAGGCAUAAGGGAGCUUGACUGCGAGACCUACAAGUCGAGCAGGGUCGAAAGACGGACUUAGUGAUCCGGUGGUUCCGCAUGGAAGGGCCAUCGCUCAACGGAUAAAAGCUACCCCGGGGAUAACAGGCUUAUCUCCCCCAAGAGUUCACAUCGACGGGGAGGUUUGGCACCUCGAUGUCGGCUCAUCGCAUCCUGGGGCUGUAGUCGGUCCCAAGGGUUGGGCUGUUCGCCCAUUAAAGCGGUACGCGAGCUGGGUUCAGAACGUCGUGAGACAGUUCGGUCCCUAUCCGUCGUGGGCGUAGGAAAUUUGAGAGGAGCUGUCCUUAGUACGAGAGGACCGGGAUGGACAUACCUCUGGUGUACCAGUUGUCGUGCCAACGGCAUAGCUGGGUAGCUAUGUGUGGACGGGAUAAGUGCUGAAAGCAUCUAAGCAUGAAGCCCCCCUCAAGAUGAGAUUUCCCAACUUCGGUUAUAAGAUCCCUCAAAGAUGAUGAGGUUAAUAGGUUCGAGGUGGAAGCAUGGUGACAUGUGGAGCUGACGAAUACUAA
rnacentral:rRNA from 1 species